rnacentral:rRNA from 1 species
UGAGGAAUAUUGGUCAAUGGGCGGAAGCCUGAACCAGCCAUCCCGCGUGCAGGAUGACAGCCCUAGAGGUUGUAAACUGCUUUUCUUCAGGAAGAAUAAGGACUAUGAGUAGUUCGAUGACUGUACUGGAGGAAUAAGCAUCGGCUAACUACGUGCCAGCAGCCGCGGUAAAACGUAGGGGGCAAGCGUUGCUCGGAAUCACUGGGUUUAAAGGGCUCGCAGGCGGGCAUAUAAGUCGUGGGUUAAAUCUCCGAGCUCAACUCGGAUACGCCUGCGAUACUGUAUGCCUCGAGAGAGAGAUAGGAAACGGGAAUUCCCGGUGUAACGGUGGAAUGUGUAGAUAUCAGGAAGAACACCGGUGGCGAAGGCGGCUUUCUGGUCCGAUACUGACGCUAAAGCGCGAAAGUGUGGGGAGCAAACA